UGUGUAGGUUUGUGGGUGGGACGGUGGGUCACUGACUGUGUGUGUGUGUGUAGGUUUGUGGGUGGGACGGUGGGUCACUGACUGUGUGUGUGUGUGUAGGUUUGUGGGUGGGACAGUGGGUCACUGACUGUGUGUGUGUGUGUGUAGGUUUGUGGGUGGGACGGUGGGUCACUGACUCUGUGUGUGUGUGUGUGUGUGUAGGUUUGUGGGUGGGACGGUGGGUCACUGACUCUGUGUGUGUGUAGGUUUGUG